ACCAUCAAACAACGCAAUGGCUACACAAAAGCAAAUCCAAACACGGCGUGCUUCUAAUGAAAAAGUGACCAUUCAAGACUUGCGGCUGCGGCCCUGGCACACUACUAAACUAGUUCAUGUGAAGGUUCUACGCUCUUGGGUCCAAAACAUUCAACUAUCAGGUGAAAUCAUGGAAUUCAUCUUUAUGAGAAUGUAAGCAAUCGUAACUGCCUAUUUAUGGUUUUGAAAUAUGUAUAUUUUGUUGUUUAUGUCUUGUUUAAAAGUUUGACUGUGCUCUUAAUAUUUUCAAUCUGAUUUAUUACAUGUGCAAGGGUGAUAAGAUUCACGCAACAUGUAAAAUGACUUACAUUGAGAGUAAAGGGAGGCGUCUUCCGUUGUAGUAUGGCGCAACAUUCAGAAUUUCCAUGUUAGACCUGCAAUAGGAGCUUAAUAUUAAUGACGAUUAAAUGAUGCUUUCUACUCAUAUGGUUAUUUUGAUCAUUCAUAUAUUUUAUAUAAAAAAAAUUAAAUUACUGGUAACAAAAUUUUCAUUGUGGGAUUAAUAGUUUUAGUAAUUUAUAUAUUUUUAAAAAUUAAGCUGUCAAUAACUGUUCAAAGCUUUUAUCAAAAAACAAUUGCUCAAAUAAUUUUAAAAAUUAAAAUAUUUAUGUAUUUUAAUUGGUAUAUAUUUUAGUUUAAAACAAUACAUAUAUAGAUAUAUAUAUAUAUAUAUAUAAUCUUGAUAAUUAAUUAAAUUAGACUUAUUAAUUAUAUGAUUUUGUAAUCAUUUUUAUUUUGACAUAACAAAAAUUUUAAACCAUGAAUCACAAAAUUUGAAUGUGAGACUUUUAACCAUUUUAAUAAUUUAUUCUUUUUAAAAGUUCAAAAUAUAACAUAUACAUAAAAAUCUAAAUUUUUUAUUAUAUGGUUAAUGUGGUUUUUUAAUUUAUUUUAGUUUUUUAAAAUUAAACUAAUAUGAUAGAAGAUACACUAAUUUUUUAUCAAAUCUUUAUUAUUUAAAAUCAUUAAUUGACAUAUAUACUUUAGCCAUAUUAGGCAAUUCCGUAAUUUUUAUUUAAGGAAAUAAUCAAGAAUAUUAAUCAUGAUAUUAUGGUUAGUUUAAGAAAAAUUUUAUUAUAUAAUUAGAUGGAUAAACAUAUUUCUCUAAUGAUUCUAAGAAUCAUCCUGGUAAUGACAUGUGACUACAAACAUAAGUUUUAGUGAUUCAAUUAAUAUAUAGCGGAUUUACAGCUAUCAUACAUCGUUUAAUAUUAUUUUAAUUAUAUAAUUAGGAAAAAUAUUUAAAAGUUAAGGAAAAGUUAUUUAAAUAAAUAAAUUUUAGAAACAUUUCAAAUAAGAAUUUAAUUCAUUUAUUUAUUUUACUUAAAUUUAAAUAUCUAUGAAUAUAUAUAUAUAUAUAUAUAUAUAUAUAUACACAAUUUUGAUCUAGAGUAUGCAACAAGUUUCACGGAAAACCUAAAAACUUCUCCCUUCAACCUCUUCAUAUUAUAAAUAGCAAUCACCUCUUCCUAAUCAAACCCACACCAUCAAACAACGCAAUGGCUACACAAAAGCAAAUCCAAACACGGCGUGCUUCUAAUGAAAAAGUGACCAUUCAAGACUUGCGGCUGCGGCCCUGGCACACUACUAAACUAGUUCAUGUGAAGGUUCUACGCUCUUGGGUCCAAAACAUUCAACUAUCAGGUGAAAUCAUGGAAUUCAUCUUUAUGAGAAUGUAAGCAAUCGUAACUGCCUAUUUAUGGUUUUGAAAUAUGUAUAUUUUGUUGUUUAUGUCUUGUUUAAAAGUUUGACUGUGCUCUUAAUAUUUUCAAUCUGAUUUAUUACAUGUGCAAGGGUGAUAAGAUUCACGCAACAUGUAAAAUGACUUACAUUGAGAGUAAAGGG
rnacentral:lncRNA from 1 species